ensembl:misc_RNA Metazoa_SRP Metazoan signal recognition particle RNA
GCCGGGUGCGGUGGCAUGUGCCUGUAAUCCAAGUCACUGGGAGGCUGAGGUUGGUGGAUCAAGUGAGCUGAGGAGCUCUGGGGUGCAGCACUCUAUGAUGAACGGGUGUCCACGCUAAGUUCGGUAUCGAUAUGGUGUUCCUGGGGGAGCCCGGGACCACCAGGUUGUCUAAGGAGGGGUGAACCGGCCCAGGUCGGAAACGAAGCAGGUCAAAUCCCCCGUGCUGUCCAGUAGUGGGAUAAUACCUGUGCGUAGAUGCUGCAGUGCAGCCUUGGCAAAACAUCUUUU